AAAAGGCAUCUAAGUCUCAAUGAAAGCCUUCCCUUUACUAUUAUUAGUAUGUGCCUUUUUCACAUCAGAAGCAUGUUUCUCUGAGCUUCUGAAAAUGACUGUAAUUGGUAAAGCCAGCACCAUUACCCACACUUGGUAUUUUUAAUCUCUUUUUUUCCAAUUUGAGAAGAGCAUACCUUGAAAAUGACUGCAGGAAGGGCAAAGAGAUGCACAUAACUAUCUUGCAUUAAUCAUUUGGAGGCUGCUUUUUCCUCAAGUUAGAGGUUUCAGGGUGAAGUGAGCAUAUUAUUAUUUUUCAGCUGAUAUUGAGAAGAUGAAAGCAGCAAUGCAAUCAGAGUCCCGUUUCCACAUUUUGAAGUAAAGAGGCAAUCUUGCAUCAUGGAUGAAUUUGCUCCUUUACAGAUGGUAGGGUGGUACUGGGUUUUCCACUCUGUGUACCGCCAACUUUCUCCAAGACUGAUGUCAUCUCCACCUAAUAACAAUGAGAGUACAUCUACCUACAGGCAGCUCUCUGUAUAACUUGCUGAUCAGUAUUUUCCCUGUGGUAUGACAGACAGAGCUAUUGAUCUUGCUGAGAUGCAGUACUGGAUUCAUAAGACCAACACAUGACAGGUUGUCCCUGUGGUGCUUCAAGAGGUAGGAGGCGAAUGGCCUGCAGUGCCUCCUAGGCUGUCAGGAGUAAUGCUUUUUAAGGCCAGAGAGAAGACUUGGUCCCCUGCAUAAUGAGAGUAUGACAGAAUCACUGAGCUAUCAAAUCAGUUAUUCUGCCAACAUCUUUCUGCUUCACUGAAGAGUAAAUUAAUCCUACAUCGGAGCGCUCCAGCAGCAGGAUAAGAGAGAGCACACAUACUGCCAUAGUUGAAUAGGAAGGUGCUUGUCAAGAGUGUAAAUAAUGGGUAAAUAAUUAAUUUUCUUUGGGGAACCUUCAAGGAUCUACUUCUCUGAGUGUUUAUGCACACAUGGUGGAACAACAGCAAGGGAUUGAGCAAGAGAGUUUCCCCAAGGGAAGAAAACACACCCUAAAUCAGACCUGUCAACAGCUCUAUCUUGUCUCUUUCCAACUUGGUGGAGACCUGGGGUGGCUGUAGCUGGCCCCAGUCUCUGGAGAUGGCAGCUGAGGUAUCGACCAGAAGGUGCUUGGUACAGAGCUGCUCCUGCAGAAGGCACAAAGACACAGCUUGGACCACAAUCGACGGUUGAAAAUGGAAGCAUGUGGGCUACAUUGAGUGAUUCCACCAUACAUACAGGUGACACUACCGGGGUUACUGCUCACCAGAAUCCUUAUUUAGAAAAGCAGCAGCUCCAAUGAGGAAACAAAAGAGGUCCAACAAAUGGCACAACAGGUAACUUAGUGCUGACCUGACCUGUUGCCUCUGGCUCACUUUGGUCUGCUGGAGUUGAGGCCACUCAUGGCAGGAAGAGCAGCUGAGUGUCCCUGUUGCUGCAUACCUCCAGUUCCAAAUUAGUAUUUCUGCAGCAAUAAGUAAAAGCAUUGAGGUCUAUUGAUUGCAAAACAAUUUCCUGUGCAAGCUCCUAUUAAAGAGCCAUUACAGAAUGCUUAGCCUUGACUUUGAGCUGAAGCCCCCAAGUGGAGCUUUUCAGGAAGAAACUGUUCCUUUUUCCCAUGGGGAACUUUCCCCUUCUGCCACCUCAAAGUGCACCUUCCCAGCACUGUCUGCAGUUAGCUGGGGGGAAAGUGUGGAUCGUUUCAUACCCAAAGGUGAAAAGGCAGAAGUGCGCCCCUUUCAGAUACAGCAGUCACGGUACUUUAAUAACCAGCUAAUAAAGUGCCAAACCAUUACAGUGAACUGCAAGCCCAAAUAUCUUGUGUGAUUUCUUACUGUUGAUAUUCUUGUCUGUUCUUAUACCUCUCCCCAUUCUCAUUUAUUUGUGUAAUAUUCUGAUUAACCUCUCUCCCUUUUUCCCACUGUCUUCGUAUAUUCAUAUUUCUAUAUACUUCCACAUUGGUCAUUUCUGUUCCUGACACCAAUAACUGUUGGACCUUCUUUCAGUUUCCCCUUACUUACUCCUUUUUCUUAAAAUAACAUUUUCUGUCUGUGUUCCCUGUCCUCUUCCUUUGUUCUGUCUGUGAUUCUCCUCUCCUAUUACAAAACUCAUUUACUGUCCUUUUUCUCAUUUCUCACUACACAAGUGAUGUAACUCCAUCAACCACAGCUCUGUUGCACUGAUUUCCUCUUUCUAUCUGCUGUCUAGCAUCUUUCCCUUCCUCUCUCCCACGCAGCACUUUUACUUUCUAUUUUGUUUCUAGUUCAGAAUCUCUCCUCUGACUUUCCCAUUGUACCCGCUGCCCUCACCCUGCUGGCCAUGUUAGCAGAAAUGUUGAGCUCUGUUGUCAUAUCGCACAGAUCUCAGCUUCCUUCACCUCCUCUGUGUUUGUAAUGUCAAGCCCACCACCACUCUCCUGGUCCAGCCAGGGCUGGGUGUCAGGCAUUAUCCACGCAGGCCUCUCUAGAGCAGCACAAGGCAGAGGUGCUUUCAUUGUGCUGUUAAGGACACCAUUGCUUGCUGACCGGUGAGUUCUGCCAAUCUGGGUCACAUUUUCUAUUGACAAGAUAUGUAGACUUAAUUGAUCAAAUUGCAGUUCUUUGGCUUUAUUGGCAUAUGCACCUUUAACUGCAUCAGUGUUCACAAUCACUCACCCUGGGGCAGUAAAGUUUUGCCACACAAAUACUUGAGAAGGACCACGGGCUGCCAUUCAAGACCAUCUGGUCCUAAAAAGUAUUUCUCUAAACGCAUGGUUACUCAGGUAUCAAUCAAGGCCACUUUCCAUCUAGACCUCUGCUGUAAGUGGCUACUCAUUUUGUCCGUGAGCUAAAGAUACAGUAUUCCUAGCAGAGCUCAUAAUGAGUGUACAUGAAUGACCUUGCAAAAGCUCUCUGUCUCCUUCGAAACACAAGCAGAGAGAAAAUCUGUAUUUGCAAGAUCAGAAAUAAAAUGAAAACCUCACUUUGGCUGAAUAAAAAAGCCAUAUACAAAAAAGCCCUUGGCAAACACAGACUUUGAACAAAAAUACCAUUUCCUUUGCCACAGUAAAUGUUGUUUCAAAUUCUGAAAUCAAGUGCUUGUUCCACUGGGCUGCAACAUUUUGUUAAGCUGCAGAGACGUGAGAGGAGCAGCUAUUCUGUUUCUUACAGUCACCUAUUUACAGUUCUCUUUCAAUAUUUCUUUUUUUCUGGAUAAGAGUAACACGUUCUAGGAUUUUCUUUAAGCCUUUUUUGGUUCAUUACGGAGGUCCAACCUUCUGCAUCCACUGGAGCAACCACAGAUGAACUACUUUUGCGGCCUUAGGGAAACCUGAACCUGGAGCCAGCUUUUAGAACUUGCCGUCAGGGCCAGGUUCUUGGCUGCCAUGCAGGAGGCUCCGCUCAGAAAGCUUGGAGAAUUUAUGGAGGACUUAAGUGGCAGCUACAAAUUAUGGUUCCGUUUCAGCUCAGGAGUGAACUGCACUUAUGGGAGCAUUGUUGUAACAAGAGGAAAACUUCCCAGCUCAAGUGUUUCCAAGCUAUUCAUCAUUUCCCUACUAUUGCCCCCCUGCAAAUUCUCCAAGUCCUUAUGAUACUGAUCUUGUAAACAAUCUCUUUCCUGAACACCUGUAAUAAAAUUCAUACAGGGUAUUGCUCUUAGGACUCCCUCCCAAUUUUCAGUUGUUUAUUCAGAUUGGGAAGCGGAGGAGAAGAUUUGGGGUUUUUUUUGGUUGUUUUGGUUUUGUUUUUUGUCUGUUUGGAUCGUGCUCUCUUUUAAUGUCAUUACUAAACAGAACUCCAAUGGGAAUAGAAAGUGAAUGGAUUAUCAGUAAUUUCUUCUGAACAUUUUCUGGUGGCACAGUCACAACAGAUAGUCUGGCCAAAUGCCUGCUGUCAGGAUAUACUGUUAGAGAAAAAGGAAGGCAGGACGGGGGAAUACACUUUAUUUUUGAGUGCUUACGAAUGCAUCUGUCAGCAGCCUGCUGGACAUGCCCCUGUAAAUAUGCACAUCACCAAACAACCCCGGGGCUUCGGUCCUGCUCACUGUGUUAUUUAUGGAGGUUAAUACAAAAUUAGGCACGACUCACGUGUUGCAAUUUUGUUCAAGGGUCAAAGAAAUAUCAUAGAAUCACAGAAUCACAGAAUGGCCUGUGUUGAAAAUAUGCCUCUGUUCCUUGUGCUGUUCUGUGCAUAUUCCCUUCACUGAUCUGACAGUAGUACAUUCAUGCUCCAGUGUAAAUGUGCAGCUCUAAACUGAGACAUCCCCCCAUCUUUUUGUGCUGGAAUCGCUGCACACAACUCUCCCCUGAAGAGGAACUGGGGAGUAAAUAUUUGCAACUGGCUCCCCAGUUUCACAGCCUUCCUCCACCACUCCUUUACGCCAUGAAUGCAGUUCAUUUCUACACGGUACAGCUGCCUCGCUGGGAGGAAAACUGCUGCUGCGCACAGGCUCAUGCGUUCACAUUGCAUGCACACGCACAUCCCGCAUUAGCUGAGGAAAGAGCUGACAGAUUUUUAACUCUUGCUACGAGGUCUCAGCUGUGAAUCCUAAUGGAAACCUGCAUGGCACAUUUCCUUCUUGGCACACUAGUGUGGGGUGCUUGGA